rnacentral:rRNA from 1 species
ACGAUACGUGGGGCAACUUACGUAUAGUGGCGGAUGGGUUAGGAAUAUAUGGAUAACGCACCUUUAACUUGGGGACAACGGUUGGAAACGACCGCUAAUACCGAAUGAAGUGGCUACUGGGCAUCCGGUGGCCAUAAAAGUGGGGGAUCGCAAGACCUUGCGGUUAGGGAGCGGUCCAUAUGAUAUCAGCUAGUUGGUGUGGUAAGAGCACACCAAGG